GACGAACGCUGGCGGCGUGCUUAACACAUGCAAGUCGAACGGAAAGGCCCUGCUUUUGUGGGGUGCUCGAGUGGCGAACGGGUGAGUAACACGUGAGUAACCUGCCCUUGACUUUGGGAUAACUUCAGGAAACUGGGGCUAAUACCGGAUAGGAGCUCCUGCUGCAUGGUGGGGGUUGGAAAGUUUCGGCGGUUGGGGAUGGACUCGCGGCUUAUCAGCUUGUUGGUGGGGUAGUGGCUUACCAAGGCUUUGACGGGUAGCCGGCCUGAGAGGGUGACCGGCCACAUUGGGACUGAGAUACGGCCCAGACUCCUACGGGAGGCAGCAGUGGGGAGUAUUGCACAAUGGGCGGAAGCCUGAUGGAGCAACGCCGAGUGCGGAAUGACGGCCUACGGGUUGUAAACCGCUUUCGCCUGUGACGAAGCGUGAGUGACGGUAAUGGGUAAAGAAGCACCGGCUAACUACGU
rnacentral:rRNA from 1 species